GACGGAGGAGGCAAGCGUUAUCCGGAAUUAUUGGGCGUAAAGCGUCCGUAGGCGGUUUGGCAAGUCUGGGGUUAAAGCCCAGAGCCUAACUCCGGAUCGGCCCUGGAAACUGCCAGACUAGAGUAAGGUAGAGGUUGCGGGAAUUCCCGGUGUAGCGGUGAAAUGCGUAGAUAUCGGGAAGAACACCAGUGGCGAAAGCGCGCAACUGGGCCAUUACUGACACUGAGGGACGAAAGCUAGGGGAGCGAAUGGG
rnacentral:rRNA from 1 species